rnacentral:sRNA from 1 species
UUUGAAAUGGCACAUUAUUCUAGUCAAUUUAGUUUAUUAGGAAGAUGGAACUAAAAAUCCAUUAAAGAGCAUAUCUGUGAAACUUCUUGUGUUUGCUGCUUACGCCCAGUUUGGGGUGAAUGCUGGAAGGUAGGAUUGUUGGGCGACCACAAUGGCAUGUGCGUGCCGACCCACCAAUCAUGGAGACCUAUAAUUGUGUAAGGCCUAUACACGCAAGUUGAUGGACUUUAUACGGUUAUUGGAUUAAACCUACUAUGUGGGGAAACUUACGAGUAGUGUAGCUUGUCUUGCGUGAAUAUUGGGGAUAAUUGAUUCAUUCUAUUAAUCCGUAGCUAAGAUUAAUAGUUAUCGCAAUUUGAAACAAUAUUUGCAAAAAAGAAUUAAUAAUAAACGGUUGUUGAGGAAAUCUCCUAGAAUGUAUUAUCUAUAUAAGAUUGCAGUGCGUACUAAGUGGCAAUCAAGUCAUAUACACGGUGACGUUAUAUCAGAACUUUUAAAGGGAAACCGCAACUUCGGUAACGGAAUGUAAGAGCUGGGGAAAACCAACUUGACCUAAGACGUAAAGUUAAUUAUUUAGAUAGCCAUUUUACAUUUA